GCGUGAGCUUUCAUGUGGAUGCACACUUCUUCAGAUACACUGAAACAGAAGUCACCAGACAGAAGUCACUAUAUAUAAGGGUCUGGUGAAUUCUGUUUCAAUGUAUCUGAAGAAGUGUGCAUGCACACGAAAGCUCAU